rnacentral:rRNA from 1 species
GACGAACGCUGGCGGCGUGCUUAACACAUGCAAGUCGAGCGGUAAGGCCCCUCGGGGUACACGAGCGGCGAACGGGUGAGUAACACGUGGGUGACCUGCCUCUAGCUCUGGGAUAAGCCUGGGAAACUGGGUCUAAUACCGGAUAUGACUCCACGGCGCAUGUUGUGGGGUGGAAAGCCUUGUGUGGCUAGAGAUGGGCCCGCGGCCUAUCAGCUUGUUGGUGGGGUGAUGGCCUACCAAGGCGACGACGGGUAGCCGGCCUGAGAGGGCGACCGGCCACACUGGGACUGAGACACGGCCCAGACUCCUACGGGAGGCGAGCAGUGGGGAAUCUUGCGCAAUGGGCGAAAGCCUGACGCAGCGACGCCGCGUGAGGGAUGACGGCCU